rnacentral:misc_RNA from 1 species
GAUGAAGAACGUAGUGAAAUGCGAUACGUAAUGUGAAUUGCAGAAUUCAGUGAAUCAUCGAAUCUUUGAACGCAUAUUGCGCUCUCUGGUAUUCCGGAGAGCAUGCUUGUUUGAGUAUCAGUAAACACCUCAACUUCCAUAUCUUUUUUGAAAUGGGAGUUGGACUUGAGUGAUCCCAACGCUUUUCCUCACCGAAAAGUGGCGGGUUACUUGAAAUGCAGGUGCAGUUGGACUUUUCUCUGAGCUAUAAGCAUAUCUAUUUAGUCUGCCUAAAAAACAGAUUAUUACCUUUGCUGCAGCUAACAUAAAGGAGAUUAGUUCUUGUGCUGACUGAUGCAGGAUUCACAAAGACAGGCUUCGGCCGACUUUGUAAACUCGAUCUCAAAUCAAGUAAGACUACCCGCUGAACUUAAGCAUAUCAAUAAGCGGAGGA